CACCACUCAACGGCUAAAGGCUGCACAAAUAUGCCUCAAGACACCUUGUACCCGCUAAUUGGCCAAUGGAGAGUUUGAAGCCCACUUUAGUCCAGAGAGAGUGGUACUGUUACCGUGGCCGCAGUUUGUCCAGGCUCUCACUGAAGUGGUUGUUGAGGAAGAGGUCCAGGGCCUCCAUACACUCCUCAAGGCACACCUGCAGGGUCAUCUGUGAGGAACUGCGCACACACACUACAAUGGUUACAUGACACAUGAUAAAGAAGCGGUUCUCUUUCCAAGCCCCACAGCAGCCGAUGAGACCUGUGAAAGACAGCACUGAGCCCAUACCAAUACAGAUGUAGCUGAUGUAGAUGAGCUGAGACGAGUAGGGGCCCAGGACAUCCACAAACGUAGCUUCUCCAUAUCUAAUCCAUGCGCCAAGCCCCAGCAGUACAAAACCCCUUUUCUGGAGGGGAGAGGAUGGUGGUGUUCUUUCUUUUUUUGAAUCAUCAGCUAAUAAAUUGCAUAUGAGUUGUUA